GUGUUCUCUUCAGCAGCCCAUACACUGAAAUUGGAACCAUACAUAGAUUAACAUUGCCCCUGGACACAGAUGGCACACAAAUUCAUGAAACAUUCCAUAUUUUU